UUGUGGGGAAGGGCGUUCUCACAGUUCCUGUAUGCCAGAAGGUGCCUGAUGCAUUAGUACAGGAAGAUGGCGAAGGUAUCUCGAGGGCGACGAUAACAAAGGAAAAAGAUCAGAAGGCUAACGAUGGGGACAACAAAGCUCGUCGCCCGCUCCCACCACUUCCAAGCCAAGACAUCAAUACAGGAGGAGAAAUCAAGGUCGAAAUUGCGUCGACUGACAGCAAUGAGGUCCCUAACACCAGCAACGCGAACGUGUACAACUAUCUGGACAGUGAUGACAUUAACAACCUACGGCAACAACCGGCUGAUACAGAGACGGACGACUCAGUCCCCCAAACUACGGACUCCAACAUUCCUGGUCUUCUGGACGACGGGACGUAUGUUCCUGGCGCCUUCCG